UACGUAGGGACCAAGCGUUGUUCGGAUUUACUGGGCGUAAAGGGCGCGUAGGCGGCUUGUCACGUCGGAUGUGAAAGCCCGAGGCUUAACCUCGGGUCUGCAUUCGAUACGGGCUAGCUAGAGUGUGGUAGGGGAGAUCGGAAUUCCUGGUGUAGCGGUGAAAUGCGCAGAUAUCAGGAGGAACACCGGUGGCGAAGGCGGAUCGCUGGGCCAUUACUGACGCUGAGGAGCGAAAGCGUGGGGAGCGAACAGG
rnacentral:rRNA from 1 species